GCUCGAAAAACGGCCGCGCUUAAAGGAUGCCCUCAGCGUCGAGGAACAUGUGCUAGGGUGUAUGUGCGACUCGUUCAGAUCAUGACUUCAAACAAAUAUUAA
rnacentral:rRNA from 1 species